rnacentral:lncRNA from 1 species
AUGAAGGGCCCAUCCAUCUCCUGUGGGUCUGCUCUCAAAGUCGCAGGUCUCCAGGGCCUGUUAUCUCUCCGUCUUUUCCCACGGUCUGUUUCGGGGUAUGCAGGACUGUUUUCUGGGACUUCUAGCGGGGCUUCCGCCUUCCUUCCCCGGGGCCCGGGCGUUAGCUGCGGCUCCGUGGCGGUGGCGAUGGCGGGCGCUAGGGCCGCGCGGAAGGGGCCGGGGGGGGGGCGCGCCUCGCCUCGCGCGCGGCAUGCUGGGGGCUGUAGUCUCGGGACUCGGCCGCCGGGUGGCCACGUGCGCCACCGCCCGCCGCGAGGCGCCAUUCCUGGGCCGCCGCCGCCGCCGCCGCCGCGGCCGGCCCCGGCCGCGGCGCUCGAGCCGGGCUUCCGGCAGAGCGAAGCGGCCGGGUUUGAGAGACCCCCGGGUUGCACUGCAGUGGGGAAGCUUGCGCUGGGACUGCAGUGUCUGCGCUGUCUGAGGCUGCCAUGUGCUGCAGGGGCUGGUCUGGGACAACGGAGCUGCUGCCGAGCAUUGCCUGCUGGGAUCAAGACUGUGGUUGCAGCUGCUGAGGAAGUGAGUGGGGUCUGUGUUCAGUGCUGUGGGUCCCGCACGUGCCAGGGGUYGCAGCGCCUGGGGAUGUGCAGGGCAAUGCCACACAAACUGGGGGACCUAGGCCACGCUGAAGGUGGGGGGGAACCUGGGGAAGCCUUGGGAAGGGUCACAGUGGGGGCUGUGUGCGUCUGGGAGUGGUUCGGAGUCRUACCAGACUGGUUGGGGAGGGGAGAGGGGCUAGGAUAGUGUCGGAGCUGAACUGGGUCUGGUCAUGGGGUGCCGGGGGAGCCCUGGACCAGUGUUGGGGAUCAUGGAACUGCAUUCAGGGCUCCACAGUGGCUUGUGGGUCUCAGAGGGUGAGGAGGGACAGCUACACAUGAUAGAUGGCAACUGCACAGGGUUAAAACUUAGAGUGCUGUGUUCUGAGGCAUGCCAGGAGAUGUACCCUUUUGCCGCUCAUCUCCUGGGCAGCCAUUUUAGGCUGCGGGCCCUGUUGGUCUGCAGGGUAUACUGGGCGGUGUGGUCUUCUGACCCUGGGCUUCCAGGCUGUACAAGUCCUAAGGGACCUGUGCUAGGCUGGUGCCAGGUGCAGGUGGGCCGGUGCUGGGCCUGUGCCGGGCUCUAUUGUCUUGAACAAGAGAGUGCCGGGCCGGGGCUGGGUGUGUACGACCCCACACUGGGCCUGUGCUGGCCCCAGGGAAGGCUCGCAUGGGCCCGGGCUGGUGCUGUGCUCGCACGGGCUGGGGCUGGGCUGGGACUGGGCUCGUAUGGGCCUCUAUGGGCUCGUAUGGGGUCAUGCGGGCCUCUUYGGGCUCCCCCACUUCCAACUUAG